rnacentral:lncRNA from 1 species
UUUUUUUUUUUUUUAAGAUGGUAGGGACUUGAACUUGGGUGUCCACUACAAAAAGGUACCAGUAGAGAAGCUGAAUUUGAAAGUCGAGGAAAACAGGGAGAGAUGGAGUGAGACCCUGGAGGUGAUGAGGGCAGGUCGGGUCAAGGGCUCCUGUAGAACUGGGCCCUGACCUCCAUGGGCUGAGGGCGAGGAUGGGGGGGGUAAGGCUACAAGGUGCCAGCAGGCAAGCGGCUGAGGUAGUCGUGCCCAGGGAUCACCGCCUUUUCCGUCUUGAGCUGAGGAAGGGAAGGAGGGUUGGGUGAAGAACAAGGAAAACCUCACCAGAGAAGAAUCAUCCUGCCGUGAACUUGUUGCUGUUGCCUUUGCUCUUGUGAUCAGUGCAGCACCAUUUCCCUCUCUCGUUGGUAACCGCACAUCAGUUUUCCUUGAAGAGGGAAUUCCCUCCACGGCGCAGUGGGUUAAGGAUCCAACUGCAGGAGUUCCCGUCGUGGCGCAGUGGUUAACGAAUCCGACUAGGAACCAUGAGGUUGCAGGUUCGAUCCCUGGCCUUGCUCAGUGGGUUAACGAUCCGGCGUUGCGGUAAGCUGUGGUGUAGGUCGAAGACUCGGCUCAGAUCCUGCAUUGCUGUGGCUCUGGUGUAGGCCGGCAGCUACAGCUCCAAUUUGACCCCUAGCCUGGGAACCUCCACAUCCAUANGGAGCCAUAAAAUUAAAAAAAAAAAAAAAAAGAAGAAGAAGUUAAAGGGGACAGAGAAAUAAAACCAAUAGUAAGAAAGUUGUUCAGACGAUCAACCUUGGUGUUCAGUGUGCAUAAGAAAAAAAUGGCCUUUAGGGAAUGGGGGCGGGGCGAUAAUAUAGGGAUCAAACGCUGUUAUCAGUGAAAGCGCAGGAGGGUGAGAAUGGAGCGGGGGAGGAGGCAGAAGGGUAAGGGUGAGAGUCUGUGGUUGCCAGUGGGCCGCUGGAAUUUAAGGAACGCCUUCGUGGGCGGAGCAGUUGUGAAUGGGGCCGGGGUCUGCGUUUGGCCAGGCCGAUUGGGUGACUGAAAUGAGGACCCCAGCCGUGAGGACCCAGGAGGUCCGUCGACGGUGGCCACCUGGCGACGGUGGCCAGGUGGCCGUGAGAGUGCUGUGGCUCACUGGCCUGGCGCCGAAGGGGGAGGAGUUCCACCUGCACACAAAGAGGGAGAGGAAUGGCAUAGGUUGUGGGGAGCCGGUGCUGAGGGGCCUCCCGUGCCCGGGGGCAGCUGCAGGGACAGGCAGAGGCGCCCUGGGGCAGAGCCUGUCCCAGUCGAGGCUGAAGAUGGAGAGACAGAAGCGAACCAUGGAGCCU